GGUGUUGCUUUGGGCCCCUGGGAAAAAAAAACAAACAAACAAUGAAACCGAGAAGAUGAUGCAGCAGGCUGAAGCGUGGCGCAAGCAGCGUGAGGAGAAGCGUGAGGAGAAGAAGUGCGAGGAGAGGGAGCAUGAGGAGGAGAAUGAGGAGGAGAAUAAAGAAGAAGAUGAGAAAAAGCACCAGGAGGCAGAAAAGACAAAGAUGGAAGAGGAGGAUAAGCAUCAGGGAGAAGCGUCAACGUUGCAGACUGAGCGCGAGAGGCCUGCUCACGUGGAGAAGCAGAAGCAUAGAGAGUCACCUCCUCUUGAUGCCAAAGGAAGGAAGGAACUAGCCACUGAGCGUCCACCUAGAAAACCUUCUGCAGACAGCCAGCGCACUCCAUCUGCUGUGUCUGUGAGCUCCCAGUGCAUGUCUGGGGAAAAUGCUAAAAAUGGACAGAAGAAGAAGAAGCGUGAAGAGGAGUGGCGGCAACAGGAGAGGGACAAGGAGGAGAAGCGUCAGAGAGAGGUGCUGAAACUGCAGUGUGAGAUGGAGAGACCGGCCCAGGUGCAGGAGGAGCAGCACAGAGAGCACUCUCCUCCUGUCCCUGCACUGAUCAAGAAACUGGCCCUUGGGCUCACCUCCACAUCACCAUCUGUGGACAGCUACCGCCCCCCGUCUGCUGUGUUUGAAAAUACCAAAAAUGGGCAGAAGAAGAAGAAGAAGAAGCAUGAGGAAGACUGGUGCCAACAGGAGAGGCACAAGAGGGAGAAGCGUAACAGAGAGGUGCUAAAACUGCAGUGUGAGAUGGAAAGACCGGCCCGGGUGGAGGAGGAGCAACGUAGAGAGCUGUCUCCCCUUGUCCCAGCACCGAAGAAGAAACUGGGCCCUGAGCUCACAUCCAGACCGCUUUUCACAGAAAGCCACCAGAGACCAUCUGCUGUUUCUAAAGGCUCAUUAUGUCCACCACAAUCCCCGGAGGACCCUUCUAAUAGGAAUCCAGUCAGAGCCACAAGUAAGGAACCCCCCACUUUGCACUCCACUGGUAGUUCCCAACUGUGUGUAUGAAGAGCACUUUACUGUUAAUCUUCACUUCUCAUUUCAAAGAACACAG
rnacentral:lncRNA from 1 species